rnacentral:rRNA from 1 species
UACGUAGGGGGCAAGCGUUGUCCGGAAUUAUUGGGCGUAAAGAGCGUGUAGGCGGCCAGAUAAGUCCGCUGUGAAAUCUCGAGGCUCAACUUCGAGGCUGUCGGUGGAAACUAUCUGGCUAGAGUCCGGAAGAGGAGAAUGGAAUUCCUGGUGUAGCGGUGAAAUGCGCAGACUAGUCAGGAAGAACACCCGUGGCGAAGGCGGUUCUCUGGGACGGUACUG